ensembl:ncRNA F25D7.7 ncRNA
AGUUAUCCUUCUUCUCUUUCUCUGAAAUGGGCCAUUAGGUUCAGCCGUCGUUGGAAGAGUUUGUCGUGUCCUCUUCUCUCCGACAAGGCAAUUUGUUAUCCCUUUUCUUCUUUCCCGCCCCCCGUUUUUGACAUACUUA